UCCGAGAAGCGGUCGUUCGCUGGUCAUUCGAUUGGAUGGCUAGAGGAAAGUCCGGACAUCGCAGGGCAGGAUUCCCUGUGAAAACGGGGGGGGCUUGUAAUUAUGCAGGUUCACGGCAAGUGCAACAGAAAGAAAACCGCCUUUUUUUGAAGGCAAGGGUGAAAUGGUGGGGUAAGAGCCCACCGCCACAAGGGCAACCUCGUGGGCAAGGUAAACCCAAUCCGAUGCAAGGCGAAAUAGGAAACCGGGUUGCCCGCCCUAUGGUUUCGGGUACGCCGCAUCCUCCAUUUGGAGGAAUUCUUGCAUAGCAGGAAUAGAUAAAUGAAUGACAACUCAACUUCAAAUGCGAGUUACAGAAUCCGGCUUACAGCUUCUCGGAAUCC
rnacentral:RNase_P_RNA from 1 species